rnacentral:rRNA from 1 species
UGCCAGCAGCCGCGGUAAUACGUAGGGUGCUAGCGUUGCUCGGAAUUAUUGGGCGUAAAGCGCGUGUAGGUUGUUUUGUAAGUCGGAUGUGAAAGCCCCGGGCUCAACCCGGGAAGUGCAUUCGAAACUACAUGACUAGAGGAGAGUAGAGGAUGGUGGAAUUCCAGGUGUAGAGGUGAAAUUCGUAGAUAUCUGGAGGAAUACCGGCGGCGAAGGCGGCCAUCUGGGCUCUCCCUGACACUGAGACGCGAAAGCGUGGGUAGCAAACAGGAUUAGAUA